GACCUCAGAUCAGGCAGGAUUACCCGCUGAACUUAAGCAUAUCAAUAAGCGGAGGAAAAGAAACUAACAAGGAUUCCCCUAGUAACGGCGAGUGAAGCGGGAAGAGCUCAAAUUUGUAAUCUGGCACUUUCAGUGUCCGAGUUGUAAUCUCGAGAAGUGUUUUCCGCGCCGGACCGCAUACAAGUCUGUUGGAAUACAGCGUCAUAGUGGUGAGAACCCCGUAACUGAUGCGGAUGCCCGGUGCUUUGUGAUACACUUUCGAAGAGUCGAGUUGUUUGGGAAUGCAGCUCAAAUUGGGUGGUAAAUUCCAUCUAAAGCUAAAUAUUGGCGAGAGACCGAUAGCGAACAAGUACCGUGAGGGAAAGAUGAAAAGCACUUUGGAAAGAGAGUUAACAGUACGUGAAAUUGUUGGAAGGGAAACGCUUGAGGUCAGACUUGCUAUUUGGAAUUCAGCCGCAAGGUGUACUUUUCAAUUCGCAGGCCAGCAUCAGUUUUUGGGGGUGGAAAAGGGUAGAGAGAAGGUAGCUGUUUCGGCAGUGUUAUAGCUCUUUGCUGGAUUCAUCCUUGGGGACUGAGGAACGCAGCGCGCUUUUUGCAAGGCUUUAGAGCUUUUCGUACUUAGGAUGCUGGUGGAAUGGCUUUAAACGACCCGUCUUGAA
rnacentral:rRNA from 1 species